rnacentral:rRNA from 1 species
GUCGAGAAUAAUUCACAAUGGACGAAAGUCUGAUGGUGCAACGCCGCGUGGAGGAUGACGGUCUUCGGAUUGUAAACUCCUGUCAUCCGGGAGUAAGACCUGGCUGUGAAUAGCAGACAGGGUUGAUAGUACCGGAAGAGGAAGGGACGGUUAACUUCGUGCCAGCAGCCGCGGUAAUACGAAGGUCCCGAGCGUUGUUCGGAAUCACUGGGCGUAAAGGGAGCGUAGGCGGCGUGGUAAGUCAGAUGUGAAAUCCCGGGGCUCAACCCCGGAACUGCAUCCGAUACUGCCGUGCUAGAGGAUUGGAGAGGUAGCUGGAAUUCUUGGUGUAGCAGUGAAAUGCGUGGAGAUCAAGAGGAACACUCGUGGCGAAAGCGAGCUACUGGACAAUAUCUGACGCUGAGGCUCGAAGGCCAGGGUAGCGAAAGGGAUUAGAAACCCCUGUAGUCC